rnacentral:rRNA from 1 species
UACGGGGGGGGCAAGCGUUGUUCGGAAUUACUGGGCGUAAAGGGUGCGUAGGCGGUUUGCUAAGUUGGAUGUGAAAACUCUGGGCUUAACCCAGAGCCUGCAUCCAAAACUAGCAGGCUAGAGUUCUGGAGGGGAUAGCGGAAUUCCUGGUGUAGCGGUGAAAUGCGUAGAUAUCAGGAGGAACACCGGUGGCGAAGGCGGCUAUCUGGACAGAAACUGACGCUGAGGCGCGAAAGCUAGGGGAGCAAACAGG